rnacentral:rRNA from 1 species
UCGGGAAUUUUGGGCAAGGGGCGAAAGCCUGACCCAGCAACGCCGCGUGAGGGAUGAAGUAUUUCGGUAUGUAAACCUCGAAAGAAUGGGAAGAAUAAAUGACGGUACCAUUUAUAAGCUCCGGCUAACUACGUGCCAGCAGCCGCGGUAAUACGUAGGGAGCAAGCGUUGUUCGGAUUUACUGGGCGUAAAGGGCGCGUAGGCGGCGCGGUAAGUCACUUGUGAAAUCUCUGAGCUUAACUCAGAGCGGCCAAGUGAUACUGCUGUGCUAGAGUGCGGAAGAGGCAACCGGAAUUCUUGGUGUAGCGGUGAAAUGCGUAGAUAUCAAGAGGAACACCUGAGGCGAAGGCGGGUUGCUGGGCCGACACUGACGCUGAUGCGCGAAAGCCAGGGGAGCAAACG